CCCAGACUCCUACGGGAGGCAGCAGUGAGGGAUAUUGCACAAUGGGGGGAACCCUGAUGCAGCGACGCCGCGUGGGUGAAGGAGCGUUUCGGCGCGUAAAGCCCUAUCGGCAGGGAAGAAGGAGGACGGUACCUGACUAAGAAGCCCCGGCUAACUACGUGCCAGCAGCCGCGGUAAUACGUAGGGGGCAAGCGUUAUCCGGAUUUACUGGGUGUAAAGGGGGCGCAGACGGCAGCGCAAGCCAGGAGUGAAAGCCCGGGGCCCAACCCCGGGACUGCUCUUGGGACUGCGCGGCUGGAGUGCAGGAGGGGCAGGCGGAAUUCCUGGUGUAGCGGUGAAAUGCGUAGAUAUCAGGAGGAACACCGGUGGCGAAGGCGGCCUGCUGGACUGCGACUGACGUUGAGGCCCGAAAGCGUGGGGAGCAAACAGGAUUAGAUACCCUCGUAACC
rnacentral:rRNA from 1 species